GAUGAACGCUGGCGGCGUGCUUAACACAUGCAAGUCGAACGGUGAACGAGGGAGCUUGCUCCCUCCGGAUCAGUGGCGAACGGGUGAGUAACACGUGAGCAAUCUGCCCUGGACUCUGGGAUAAGCGUUGGAAACGACGUCUAAUACCGGAUACGAGACGCGAAGGCCUCUUCAGCGUCUGGAAAGAACUUCGGUCCAGGAUGAGCGCGCGGCCUAUCAGGAAGUUGGUGAGGGAAUGGCUCACCAAGCCUACGACGGGUAGCCGGCCUGAGAGGGUGACCGGCCAAACUGGGACUGAGACACGGCCCAGACUCCUACGGGAGGCAGCAGUGGGGAAUAUUGCACAAUGGGCGCAAGCCUGAUGCAGCAACGCCGCGUGAGGGACGACGGCCUUCGGGUUGUAAACCUCUUUUAGCAGGGAAGAAGCGAAAGUGACGGUACCUGCAGAAAAAGCACCGGCUAACUACGUGCCAGCCGCCGCUGUAAUAC
rnacentral:rRNA from 1 species